AACAAUUUUAUUUUUUGGUGUAGCUGGUCAAGGAAGUUGCACAGAACUUCCCCAACAUCCCAAAUUGUUAUGGAACCUUCAAAAACACAUGGAGCAAAAAGAAAUGGCUGAGGAUAUACUAAAAAUGUCUGAGUUCAACAAAGCCAACAACUGCUUCAUGUGUGCCACUGAURAAGAACCUGGAUGUGGCCCAAAGACUGACUGGAUUGAAUGUUUUGCAUGCCAACGGUGGUUCCAUGUGCUGU